rnacentral:lncRNA from 1 species
GGGCGAUUGGGUUCCGGGCGCCCCAGCACUCCCCGCCAGGGAUUAGAGCUCGAGCAGGUAAUUAGUUAAUUGUGGCCCCUCGGCUCACAGACUCUUUUGUGCUUCUGGUGCCUUAAUCCCGAAACCAUCAGCUGGAUCAAACGUUCUCCUGACAACGGCCGGGGCACCGGGGAACCAGCAGGGUAACAGGAGCCUUUGGGGAGAGAUGAAGCCAAAGGCAGAGGCGAAGCAGGGAGGCAGCCCCGGCCGGGCCUCCCGCAGCCCCCGUGUCCCGUUCUCCGCAGCCCAGAUCGGCCUCCUGGAGGGCAGCUACCGGCAGACACGCUAUCUGAGCAGCGGGCAGGUGGGGGAGAUGGCGGCACUGCUGGGGCUCAGCGAGACCCAGGUGAAAAUCUGGUUCCAGAACCGGCGGGCACGGGAAAGGCGGGAUUUCUUGAAGGAGCAGCCAACCAGCAGCAAUGCCCUGGAGGGGGCUGAGCCGGCCCAUGCCGCCCCCCUCGGACAGGCGCCAAUGCCAGGGCCGGGCAGCGCCAAGAUGCUGCCCCCUUGAGCUACCGCAGCCUUGGGCAUCUGAUCACAAUGGGGCCAUUUGAGUUGCCAUUUGGGGGGGCCCCCAGAAUGGGGGUGAUGGUCCCCCUAUGGGCUGUGCACCUCCUCCACCUUGUUGUUACAGGGCACUCAUCAAACUCCAGCCCCACUCCCAACUGCAAACUGGUCCCCUUCCCACCCCAAAUCUUCAGCCAGAAUUUGACUCCCUGGCCGGGAUGUGUACCCCAAACUCUGACUGAGCUCGGGGGGCGGGGGCAGGACUGACACCCGCAGACACAGGAGUCAUCCGGCCCGACUGCUUGGUGCCUCCUGUGUGCAAUGAAUUGGGAGGCAGUCUCAGCCUGGCCUCUUCACCCAACUCUCUUUCAAAACCAGCUGCACAAUUAGCACUCCAGGCCAGGGCUUCCCGUUGGCCCACCCUAGGGCCCCUCAACCCUGGGGCGCCCCCUGCUGGGUCCUGUCCCCAGCACUGACCCGAACCUCCAUUCAGGUGCAAAAGAUGACUGUGCAGAACAUCUGUGGGGGGGGAGGAGGGAGGCAGAAUGUUCCCCCCACCCCCCCCCACCCCNAUAUCACGGCUCUGCGUCCGAAAUUGACAAGAAAACCGUUCACUGCUCGCGCUGUGACCCCGCAGCAGGUGGGAAGCUCCAGCUAGAGUCCGGCUGCCCCCCUGGCUCCCAGCUCCCAGCCGGGCUAUGCCUGCCUAGCUUCCCACUCCCCCACCAGGGGCCUGGGUGCUGCCUGGGCUCUCGGCUCCCCACUGGAAGCCCAGCAGGUGCCCAGCACAGAGCUUAUUACAGCAGUCGGUAACCCACCAACUCCUGUUUGUGUCCUGUGACUGCAGGGGCGUUAACGGGCCAUGCUGCCUUGAACAGGCCCUUGAAAUCUGUGUUCACGCCUUACACUAAACUGUCUGAGAGGGGAAACUGUCAGAGCGGGGACGCUCUGAGCCGCUCUCCCAGCCCUGGAGAAGAGCUUGGUGUGGCUUCAAAGCUCGACUCUCUCACCAACAGAGGUUGGGCCAUAAAAGAUAUUACUGUACCUCCCACAUCGUGUCUGUCUGAUCCCGUGGUUCUCAGCCUUUUCAGACGACCGUACCCCGUUCAGGGGGCUGAUUUGUCUGGCCUACCCCCAAGCUUCACCUCGCUUAAAAACAACUUGCUUACAACAUAAGUCCGAAAAAUACAAACGUGUCACAGCCACGCUGUUACUGGCCAAUUGCCAACGAUCUCAUUUUCCCCAUCUAAUUAUAAAAUAAAU